rnacentral:rRNA from 1 species
ACAGCAGCCGCCGCGGUAAUACGUAGGGUGCGAGCGUUAAUCGGAAUUACUGGGCGUAAAGCGUGCGCAGGCGGUUUUGUAAGACAGGCGUGAAAUCCCCGGGCUCAACCUGGGAAUGGCGCUUGUGACUGCAAAGCUAGAGUGCGGCAGAGGGGGAUGGAAUUCCGCGUGUAGCAGUGAAAUGCGUAGAUAUGCGGAGGAACACCGAUGGCGAAGGCAAUCCCCUGGGCCUGCACUGACGCUCAUGCACGAAAGCGUGGGGAGCAAACAGGAUUAGAUACCCCAGUAGUCCCUGUCUCUUAUAC